UAUAAAAUCUAAACUAAAGUUAUUAAGUCAAGAAAUGGUAAGGAAUUUUCAAUAAUGACAUUUUAGAGAUUACGAAAUAAUAUUUGGAAUAUAAUACUAGAAUUUAUAAGUAUGAGAUGAUCAAUUUAACAUGAUUGUGGAGGUAUAGGAUUGGUUAAUGAUAUCAACACAAAAUGUUCUCAUUACACAAACAUUAUCUAAAGACAAUGUUUAUGCUUAGAAAUAAUAUAUCAUAAAGAGGAAAUAAGCAAGUGUUACAUAGGUAUAUUUUUACUUAUUUACGUUUGACUUCGCACACCCCCUUAAGAUCAUCUAAAAAGGGUAUAUUCAUUUUUCAAUGUUUAACGAACUUUAUUCUUACUAAUUAUAAGUCAUCUAAAUAUAGAAUAAUGAAUAGAGAGUAUGUAAUAGUAGCAAAGAUAAAAAAGACAUAAAAUAGUAAAUUUAUCUCUUGAUUUUUCAAACUAAAUAAAGAAAAUCACAUGACCGUAUUUAGUGCAUAUUGGACAAAUAAAAAUGAACAGAGAACGUAAAACUUUAUCCAUAAUAUAUAUAUAAAUAUUGCUAUAUAACAAGUAGAGAAAACGUGGACAAAUGUUCAAAUCCAUUAGAAAGUGAAAGAAUACAUAUCCCCAACAUCAUGAUCUCAACAACCUAAUAAAAAAUUUAUGGUGUUUGACCUAAUGGAGCCAGCCUGCUUCUUUUCUCAACAAUAAUUCAAACUCUUUAUUUCUUAUUUAGUGGGUUUUCAUUGAUUUCGAGGUAUAAAAUAAUCUCAUAAAUAUUUCGAAAUUAUAAUCCUUUUUAUCAACCAACCAAAGGACCUUGAGAAUUGCAUACAAAGAAACAUUGACAGUUGAUUUGGCUUUAUCACAAAUAUCAUAGAGGAAGGUGAUUCAACCAUGACUUUUGUAUAUAGACAGUCAAACUCAUCUCAAGUAAUAAUCAUCGAGAAAAUCUAACUUGCUCUUGCCAAGUAAACCUAUUCUCUCAUAGAUCUACUCCACAGUGCAUAGUUCUCGGUCCAGAUAAUCGAAUACAACAGCAAAUUACCUGGUGUGCCUGUAGGUUGAAGACACAAAGGAUGUGCCAGAGACUGAUCAGAAAAAGAAGAGACAAAGGGUGAUUGUGCUCAAUUGAAGCAACUCUUCCCACUAAUCAAUCACAAGAGCGGUCAUCUCAAUAGCUAUGAACUCAACUGCUCAAGAACGAUUCAACUCAGACUUGUAUGAAUCGAAACAACUUCUCCCACUGAUCGAUCACAGGAAGAAGAUGAAGAAGAGAAAACAUACUGCAACUGGAUCUAGCUACAUGAAUACACUGUGAAGUCUACUAAUUGUCCACUUAAUAAACCAACAGUCUAACUGAUUGUCUAACUAAACUUUAAGUCAAUUAGAUCAAACUUUACAGCCUUGCCAUUUACUAUCUAUCAUAGCCGUCUCGCAGUUACAAUCUCAGCUUGUCACUUGCGCUCAUUCUAUCAACGAACUAUUAACAGUGACUAGCAUGUAAAGGUUAAAUUGUCACAAUAUCAAACAACUAACAAGUAAUAAAAGAUGUGUAAACUGACAGUAGUUUUAGGAAAAUGAACAUUUCCAAUAUAUAAAAGCCAUUAAGCAAUCCGCUUAACUGCUAUUAUUGCAGCAUAUCAACUAAUUUUAUAAUUACAAAAACAAUA